CUAAUACAUGCAAGUCGAGCGAACAGAUAAGGAGCUUGCUCCUUUGACGUUAGCGGCGGACGGGUGAGUAACACGUGGAUAACCUACCUAUAAGACUGGGAUAACUUCGGGAAACCGGAGCUAAUACCGGAUAACAUAUUGAACCGCAUGGUUCAAUAGUGAAAGGCGGCUUUGCUGUCACUUAUAGAUGGAUCCGCGCCGUAUUAGCUAGUUGGUAAGGUAACGGCUUACCAAGGCAACGAUACGUAGCCGACCUGAGAGGGUGAUCGGCCACACUGGAACUGAGACACGGUCCAGACUCCUACGGGAGGCAGCAGUAGGGAAUCUUCCGCAAUGGGCGAAAGCCUGACGGAGCAACGCCGCGUGAGUGAUGAAGGUCUUCGGAUCGUAAAACUCUGUUAUCAGGGAAGAACAAAUGUGUAAGUAACUGUGCACAUCUUGACGGUACCUGAUCAGAAAGCCACGGCUAACUACGUGCCAGCAGCCGCGGUAAUACGUAGGUGGCAAGCGUUAUCCGGAAUUAUUGGGCGUAAAGCGCGCGUAGGCGGUUUUUUAAGUCUGAUGUGAAAGCCCACGGCUCAACCGUGGAGGGUCAUUGGAAACUGGAAAACUUGAGUGCAGAAGAGGAAAGUGGAAUUCCAUGUGUAGCGGUGAAAUGCGCAGAGAUAUGGAGGAACACCAGUGGCGAAGGCGACUUUCUGGUCUGUAACUGACGCUGAUGUU
rnacentral:rRNA from 1 species